ensembl:lincRNA
CUUCCAUCACACAUGGCAGAAACAGGAUGAAAGUAACACACUGAUCUAAACAGUGUUAUACUUAUGUGCAGUCUUACCAUGAAGAGAAUAUCUUCUUUUUAACAAUUAAUACAUGUGCCUGAUGAAAUACUAUAUGUUCUCUAAUAAAGACAAAAGAAGGUACCAGUUUCAGCAUUAAAGGGCAAACUAUGAACUUCGGGUGUACAGGAAAAUCAACAAAGCCUAAACAUCUGGAUAAUGUGGAGAAGCUCUGUGAAGACACUGCUGUGAUUAUGAUAGACGCUUAUAUGAAUAGGAAGAGAAAGUCCCAUAGCUUGUUUGAAAUUGAAUGUGCCUAGAGUUUGCAGGGUAAACAAAUAACAUGAUAGUAAAUGGUGACCCUGCAAACUUCCAUCCCUCUUAGUACCACAGGAACGGACUAGAGGAUUAGGAAUACUUGAGAAUGCAAAGAGAAAUUAGAUGUCAGUAAGACUCCGUUUUGGUGUAUGGCAUGGGCUAAAUCAAGGACUUGAGGGUUGUUGAAGAAAACUGGCACAUUAGAGCAAAUUCCAGGUUCGAAAAUAAUUUCAUCUUUUGUGAGAAGCUAAGGAUGUGUACACAUUCACUUAAAGAACUUUUACCGCUUGAUCUUCACUUCACACAUUGAAAAUUCAACAAGGUUUGGAAUCAUGCUUCUGCUAAGUAUUAACCUUUCAGCACAGAAGCUUUGAGAAUGGAUUACCUGGGAAACUGUUUUUCUAUUCCUAUGUGUGACAGCUGAGUUCAGCUGUUUUUCUAAGCAUCUCUGGAACAGCUGAGCACUUUCUCCUGGUCUCAGAUUUGAAUCUAAGGCAACUUGAAGCAACAAAGUAACAUUGGAAUGCAUCUGAUCAAGGAAUUCACCUCAUCUGCUACAGCUUGGAGUUUCGAUCUUUGUGGUAUAGUUGUCUGUGAAGUCAUCUUCUAUAACUUCCUUAUUUAUCACCUGUUACCGGUACUCAUCCUCAGACAGCAGGUAUUAGCGAUCUGGAAAAAUGGAAUCAAACAAAAGUGCUUUUAUUCACUGGUAAAAAUAAAAUGACUCGUGUCAGCUACUGAAGGAGCUCAUCUUCUGCCAUCAGUUGAAAUCACUUCUAUGAAAGAAUCUAAUAUUGACCAAAUGAGGAAAACACGAGAAUAGUAUAACACUGUAUGUAAGACCAGGGUUGCUGAAAUGAUAAUGGCACCCUCUGUACAUCCUGUACUUAUGAAGGCCAUUUAAUAAAACUAGAGUAUCACUGAAUCACUGCUCUUUAACUAUUCAAGGUUUUCAGCUUAAAUAUGCCUUAUUUUACUGAAAUAGAUUAUGUAAUCAAAUUUUAUUUUAUUUGUUAUUUCCUUGUUACAACUAUUAAGUCUUUCUGCACCUGUCUUGUAUUAAAAAAUAAUAGUUUAUCCUGCUAUUCCUCAUUGUGUUUUCAAUUCAUUGUCCACUGAAAUUACAGUUUACCUCAACUUUAUAACUUUCAAGGAAUUGGUGAUAAAUAAUAUUUUUUCAAAAAUACCUAACCACAAAUAAUUUGGACAUGAAACACUAUCCAUAUCUAUCUAUCUGUCUAUAUCUUCUUUUCCACAAAAAGGCACACACCUGUAAUCCAAGCACUCUGAGAGGCUGAGGAAGAAGGAUCACAAGUUUGAGCUAAGAUUGGACAAUUUAGUGACUUAAGCAAGAUUCUGUCUGAAAAAAACAAACAAAUAAAUGAUUGCAAUGUAGCUCGGUGUGAAGGCCCAGCAUUUAAUCCUCUGUUUGAAAAAAAGCAAAAAAAAAAAAAAAAAAAAAAAGAGAGACAAAGAGGAAAGAAAAAGAAAUGUACUGGAAUUUCACUGUUGAUAUAUUGCACAUUUUAAAAACAGAAUAAUGUAAAGCAAUCAUCGCUGGCUUUAUGACUUUUGCUAAAACAAUGCAGACUCUGCUCUUCUACCACAACUUGUAGGUCAGCUGAUUAUAGAAAAGAGGACGCACUCUGCAAGGAGGGUAGUGAUAGUUGUGGGUUAUGACAUCGGGUUCUACUUUGUUAUCUUUAUGGACGCCCAUCAUGCUUUCUAUGAUUGGGCCCGGCCACUCCGUGCUGCUCUGCGGCAAAUCCUAUCAGCUCCUCCUGUUUCUCAGUUGUCUGUACUGCUGUGUAGG